rnacentral:tRNA from 1 species
GCCCGAGUGGCGGAACUGGCAGACGCAACGGAUUCAAAAUCCGUCGCCCUUUAAAGGCGUGCAGGUUCGAUUCCUGUCUCGGGCA